rnacentral:rRNA from 1 species
GACGAACGCUGGCGGCGUGCCUAAUACAUGCAAGUUGAGCGCUGAAGGUUGGUACUUGUACCAACUGGAUGAGCAGCGAACGGGUGAGUAACGCGUGGGGAAUCUGCCUUUGAGCGGGGGACAACAUUUGGAAACGAAUGCUAAUACCGCAUAAAAACUUUAAACACAAGUUUUAAGUUUGAAAGAUGCAAUUGCAUCACUCAAAGAUGAUCCCGCGUUGUAUUAGCUAGUUGGUGAGGUAAAGGCUCACCAAGGCGAUGAUACAUAGCCGACCUGAGAGGGUGAUCGGCCAGAUUGGGACGGAGACACGGCCCAAACUCCUACGGGAGGCAGCAGUAGGGAAACUUCGGCAAUGGACGAAAGUCUGACCGAGCAACGCCGCGUGAGUGAAGAAGGUUGUCGGAUCGUGAAACUCUGUUGGUAGAGAAGAACGUUGGUGAGAGUGGAAAGCUCAUCAAGUGACGGUAACUACCCAGAAAGGGACGGCUAACUACGUG